rnacentral:rRNA from 1 species
AACGAACGCUGGCGGCGGGCUUAACACAUGCAAGUCGAACGCCCCGCAAGGGGAGUGGCAGACGGGUGAGUAACGCGUGGGAACAUACCCUUUCCUGCGGAAUAGCUCCGGGAAACUGGAAUUAAUACCGCAUACGCCCUACGGGGGAAAGAUUUAUCGGGGAAGGAUUGGCCCGCGUUGGAUUAGCUAGUUGGUGGGGUAAAGGCCUACCAAGGCGACGAUCCAUAGCUGGUCUGAGAGGAUGAUCAGCCACAUUGGGACUGAGACACGGCCCAAACUCCUACGGGAGGCAGCAGUGGGGAAUAUUGGACAAUGGGCGCAAGCCUGAUCCAGCCAUGCCGCGUGAGUGAUGAAGGCCUUAGGGCUGUAAAGCUCUUUCACCGAUGAAGAUAAUGACGGUAGUCGGAGAAGAAGCCCCGGCUAACUUCGUGCCAGCCGCCGCGGUAACAC